AUACCUUUCUCAGCCUUUUGGCUAAGAUCAAGUGUAGUAUCUGUUCUUAUCAGUUUAAUAUCUGAUAUGUGAAUCAUUGACUCACAUGGUAUUAAAUUUAUUUUUUAAGGAGAGGGCCCUUCACAGUAGCUUGCUACUGGGCUUCUCAUGUGUCGUCCGUGCCUUACACUACUGCAGGGGCCUGGCACAUCCCAC
rfam:Cajanus cajan Scaffold129046_25, whole genome shotgun sequence.